GCCGCAUCCAGAAAGAAAAACACAGAACCGCGAAACGUCGAGACAGAGAUAGCAAUUUGAUUUUGAGGGUCCUUCACCAUUCUCUUUGAUUUUCGGGUUGUGGCCUACUUCCUCUCAAAAAAGAUGAAGUGGAAUACUCUAAUUUCAUCACAGCAAAGACCCCAGCUUCUUUUCCAAUUUCCUCCUUCAGUAACCCAUGGAUUAUUUUCUGCUUUCUGUUAUGCACAGCGAAAGACCAAAUCUAUAUAGUUUAGAAGCUGUCUGCAAAUUCCAGCAAUAGCAAAGUGAAAAGGGAAAAGAAAGCUAUGAGUAAUGGACACAGACAUGAGUUAUUAGAAUACUAAACAAUUGUAUCUUUUUGGUGAUUUGCUAUUG